CGCGGCCCCGCCACGAGACUCCGAUGACAGGGGCUCAGCCGGCGCUGCUUGCGAGCGCCGGACCGACCGACCGCGGCGGCGGAGGAAGACGCGAGGAUCGCGGCCCGGGGCCAAGUGCGGGAGGUGCUUGGGCCGGCGGCGCGCAUAGAUCAGGAGAAAAGGAGGUGGUGAGUGUCCAAGACCUGAGGAGAGCCAGAGAUGCUAAGCACCAAGGAGUUCAGCAUGAAGGAGCGACUAGAACAGAUCCCCUCUGAAGCAGCUGGGGGCUCAUCUGAGAAACUUCUCAUCCUUGAGGAGUGGUCAGCUAGGAGAGGAAGAAGGGAUGGUGUGGAGCCCACCCAUGGCCUAAGGAGCCAGUGUAGUCCACAGCCUGUGGGACCAGGAGCCUCCAGGUGGGCGACUCAAGAAGAAUCGAUGCUUCAGCCCCCAGCGACAUGUACACGGUGUAAUGACAGAUGGUGAUGCAUGUUCUCUGGAAACAGCUUGGCUGGGGCUCACCAGCUGGGUUAUGGAGUCAGCAGUCACUUACAGUUCUGGGGGCUGACUUCAGCCAGUUCCUGAAGCUCCCUGAGCCUUACUGAAAGUGGGACUAAUAAUUUCUAUCUUACUGGGUAACUAUGAAAAUGAAAAUAAAUAAUGAAUAAUUGCUCGGUGAAACUUGGUGUUGAGAAAUACUUCUUUUUAUUUUCCCUACAUCAAAUGAAAAUAAAUCUAAAGUCUUACUAAGUUUCCUAGCAGGCAUUUCUGUAGCUCUGUCUCCACCUUUCUAGUGCAUGAGAAACUUGGGGGUUUGGCAGGUGAGGAAAAAUGGGGAGAGUUGAGUGAGGCCUGCACCUAAGCCUACUGUGCUAGAGCUGCCCUUGGCCCUCCUGACGCAGCCACGUGUGGUUAUCUGGAGGAGGCAACCCCAGCAGCUGGCUUCAGUGCCUUGAUGCCAGCUCUGCCAUGGAAGAUGCUGGGCCCUGGCCAUCGUCUCAGGGGUGUCUACAUCCCCCAAGUGCAUUCCAGAGUGGUAAAAGUUGCAGGGC
rnacentral:lncRNA from 1 species